rnacentral:rRNA from 1 species
CGGAGGGUGCAAGCGUUAUCCGGAUUCACUGGGUUUAAAGGGUGCGUAGGUGGGCAAGUAAGUCAGUGGUGAAAUCUCCGGGCUUAACCCGGAAACUGCCAUUGAUACUAUUUGUCUUGAAUGUCGUGGAGGUAAGCGGAAUAUGUCAUGUAGCGGUGAAAUGCUUAGAUAUGACAUAGAACACCGAUAGCGUAGGCAGCUUGCUACACGAAUAUUGACACUGAGGCACGAAAGCGUGGGGAUCAAACAGGAUUAGAUACCCUGGUAGUCCACGCCCUAAACGAUGGAUACUCGACAUCAGCGAUACACUGUUGGUGUCUGAGCGAAAGCAUUAAGUAUCCCACCUGGGAAGUACGACCGCAAGGUUG